rnacentral:rRNA from 1 species
GACGAACGCUGGCGGCGUGCUUAACACAUGCAGGUCGAACGGUAAGGCCCUUCGGGGUACACGAGUGGCGAACGGGUGAGUAACACGUGGGUGAUCUGCCCUGCACUUCGGGAUAAGCCUGGGAAACUGGGUCUAAUACCGGAUAGGACUCCUGGCUUCAUGGUUGGGGGUGGAAAGCUUUUGCGGUGUGGGAUGGGCCCGCGGCCCAUCAGCUUGUUGGUGGGGUGAUGGCCUACCAAGGCGACGACGGGUAGCCGGCCUGAGAGGGUGACCGGUCACACUGGGACUGAGAUACGGCCCAGACUCCUACGGGAGGCAGCAGUGGGGAAUAUUGCACAAUGGGCGCAAGCCUGAUGCAGCGACGCCGCGUGAGGGAUGACGGCCUUCGGGUUGUAAACCUCUUUCAGCUAUGACGAAGCGCAAGUGACGGUAGUAGCAGAAGAAGGACCGGCCAACUACGUGCCAGCAGCCGCAGUAA